rnacentral:lncRNA from 10 species
UUCCAUUUAUGGCUUAGUCAAAAACAUAUGGAUAUACAAGCUGAAAAACAGAGUUAGUGGGAAAGCUAGGUGGCUGGUUAAAAAUACACUUUUUGUGGUAAUGUUACAUUAUUUUUUAAAAGGCGUGAUGAUACAUGCACAUAGUCCCAGCUACUGGGGAAGCUGAGGCAUGAGAAUUGCUUGAACCAGGAGGCAGAGGUUGCAGUGAGCUGAGAUCGUGCCACUGCACUCCAGCCCGGAUGACAGGGUGAGCCUCUUUCUCAAAAUAAUAAUAAUAAUAAUAAUAAUAAUAAUAAUAACAAAAAUUAAAUAAAAAUAGAAAUCUGGAAACUAAGGUAUUUUACUGAGCUACAGGUAAAUUUGUUUCAGAAUGUUCAGAUUACAACUUCUUUAGAUAUACUUUACUAGUGCAAU